AUUAAGCAACCAACUCCCCUCCCAUAGAGAAGUGGAAUCUUCCACGUUAAAGCAAAUGGAUAUAAUUAUCAAAAGUCAAAUACCACCAAAGCUAAUUCUAUCUUUAGAAAUUUUAGGCCAUUGCUCUCAUUAUUUGUCCAAAACACAAUUCAAAUGGGGAAAUCUUGCUGCUUCUGCCAAUCAGAUGAUGCUGGUAAUGACAACUUGAAGAUAAUCCUAGUGGUGGUUAUAGCUCUUGCGUUGAUGGUCAUCUGCUACUCUCCACCAAGAAUGAGAGGUGUCUUGGUAUAUCGCUGUUAAGAAGGUUUUUAUUUAUUUUCCAU
rnacentral:lncRNA from 1 species